rnacentral:rRNA from 1 species
CAGCCGCCGCGGGAAUACAGAGGAUGCAAGCGUUAUCCGGAAUGAUUGGGCGUAAAGCGUCUGUAGGUGGCUUUUCAAGUCCGCCGUCAAAUCCCAGGGCUCAACCCUGGACAAGUGGUGGAAACUACCAAGUUGGAGUACGGUAGGGGCAGAGGGAAUUUCCGGUGGAGCGGUGAAAUGCGUUGAGAUCGGAAAGAACACCAACGGCGAAGGCGACUCUCUGGUCUGUAACUGACGCUGAGGAGCGAAAGCGUGGGGAGCGAACAGGAUUAGAUACCCGCGUAGUCCCUGUCUCUUAUAC